AGAGCGAGGACGCUAACAGGAACAAUGACUCAGGAUGAGGGUCAGGAGCGCCAGGAGGCGAAGACAGAGGAUUGUCAGGAAGACAAACGUCCGGAGACGUAAUUAAACGGAAAUGGAAUCAACACGGAUUGUUCUGGCUAAUGGAAAAACAGGGUGUGUUGGCGGCCUGCAAGGAUUGUAAGACCCGUUAAGGGUUAUGAGUCAGGAAAAAAGGCGACAGAGUAAUCUGUCGCCUUUUUUCUUUGCUUGCUU
rnacentral:sRNA from 1 species